rnacentral:ncRNA from 1 species
CAGUUUGAACACUGCCUUUUCCGAAAGACUUUUCUCCAAGGAUAACCGCUCUUUUGUGAUCUUGCAAAGCCCCUGCAACAAUUUCUGAAGCCGAGGCCGAUCCAUUAUUUAUGAUAACGACUAAAGGAAGUCCUUCUGUUAUGUCCUUUCCUUUGGCGGAAUAUCUUUGAGUAUCUUCUUCAUUGCGGGCGCGUGUUGAAACGACUUCUCCCUGAUCCAAAAAGAGUCCAGAAACCGCCACCGCCUGAUCCAAUAAUCCGCCAGGAUUGUUU